UGGAAACCCUGUAUGUUGGCACCUGGAUGAGUCAGCUCGGGAUACCACAACAAAUUUCCACAGACCGGGGGCUAAAACAACAGGAAUGUACAUGCCCACAGUGCUGGAGACUGGAACUCUGAAGGUCUUUGAGAACCUCAGCUCUGUAACGAUGAGACUCCACUUUUUCCUCACUGCUCUUUUUGCCAUCUUCCAGCUACUGCCCGGCAUCACUAGGGCACUUAAUUUUGAAAGACCCUGCUACCUUAGAGGUGGAAUCUGCCUGAAGCAAGGAACACCAGAUUGUGAGCCUUUCAGAGGACCCUGCAGAGUUUUCACCGUUUGCUGUAAAAUAAGGAGAAGCUAAUGGAGGAGCCCGACAAGGAACGCAGGCACAGGAUCUGGAGUAUGGCUCCUUUAGUUCGAAUGAGAGCAAACCUCACUCAAGCCCAGAUAAUUGAUUACAAUCAUUAGGAUUGAUUAAAGGAAGAUAUGUUUCCCAUGAUGGGGUAGGCAUUUUUUAGGUUAAAUAACUUGCCCAAGAUCACACAGUCUAAAAACCUUUCCUUCAGUGAUUUGCAACACUUUGUGUGCAUGGAAGAGAGACUGGAUAUGAAAGAAUUUACUACAGUUGGGAGAGGAGAUGUGAGGACAGGGCUGGUCUCAGGAUACCCCUGCGGUGGGUGUUGGGUUGAGCAGGAGGAACCUACUGAGGGUGUACAGUCCUGGGAGCAUUGGGGUGUUGGGAUGGGUAGGAGGGAGACACACCUGUCCAGAGAGACUACCCAAAGUAGUCAGUCCCGCAUGGAGAUGCAGGCAGAAGCCAGUUGAGAGGUAGGAAUUCCAGUUGCAUGUCAGAGGCUUAUGCUGUAAGGCUGGAGUCCUGGGAUAAGUGUGAUUAUUUUGUGUCUUCCUUGGUCAAAGGGAAGCUGAUGACCAAGCUGAUGCUUGUCCAGGUCUCAGCAUCAGCUGUAGUGUCCUGAGCAAGUCUUCCCUCCACUAUGAGCAUCUGUGAUCUGCUCUGGUGAGGGAGUUAGCUUAGAGAUAACCACUGCUUUCUGUAAUUUACAAUGCAAGUUUGGGGUGGGAGGAUGGAGACAGCACCCCCUGCAAAGUGCCCGGGGAGGCAAACGACAAGGAGAAAGAUGAGACACACAAACAUAAAACAUGCUGCCAAAACCUAAACAAUCACAUGGAAAAGAAGAGUUUGGCUGGCACUGUGAUGAGUGGCAAACAGAACCAUGACCAGGUCCCAAUCAAUGAGUAACUACAGAAAAUUCAGCACAGGUUUGCAGAUGAAGAAAC